AACAGGUCUUUAGUCACCACUACAUAGGACCUCUAUACUAUCGAGAUCCACCAUUUGACAUGGGCAAGACUUAUCUCAGAAAGCCAGUUCUCAAGAUGAACACUGAUGUUCGGGCAAUGCCACUGGAUAAUCCUCACUAGUGUCAACUGAAAUGAAGGCUUCCCCAUCCUUCGGGUGUUCAAAAUCAGCACCCUCAUUAUGAUGGCUGACACAAAAAGGGAUCUGCACUAGUACCCCCCUCAGUCUGAAGAUCUACCUUCAUCCUUAUUGUCAAUGAGUCCAUGGCUGAUAGACUCUCCCUAACUCUCUGGAUAGCCUACCUCAGCUGUACCACAAUCUCAUCAUGGUC
rnacentral:lncRNA from 1 species